CUACGGGUUGCUGCAGUGGGGAAUAUUGCACAAUGGGCGCAAGCCUGAUGCAGCCAUGCCGCGUGUAUGAAGAAGGCCUUCGGGUUGUAAAGUACUUUCAGCGGGGAGGAAGGGAGUAAAGUUAAUACCUUUGCUCAUAGACGUUACCCGCAGAAGAAGCACCGGCUAACUCCGUGCCAGCAGCCGCGGUAAUACGGGAGGGUGCAAGCGUUAAUCGGAAUUACUGGGCGUAAAGCGCACGCAGGCGGUUUGUUAAGUCAGAUGUGAAAUCCCCGGGCUCAACCUGGGAACUGCAUCUGAUACUGGCAAGCUUGAGUCUCGUAGAGGGGGGUAGAAUUCCAGGUGUAGCGGUGAAAUGCGUAGAGAUCUGGAGGAAUACCGGUGGCGAAGGCGGCCCCCUGGACGAAGACUGACGCUCAGGUGCGAAAGCGUGGGGAGCAAACAGGAUUAGAUACCCGUGUAGUC
rnacentral:rRNA from 1 species